rnacentral:rRNA from 1 species
AGUGAACGCUGGCGGUAGGCCUAACACAUGCAAGUCGAACGGCAGCACAGUAAGAGCUUGCUCUUACGGGUGGCGAGUGGCGGACGGGUGAGGAAUACAUCGGAAUCUACUUUUUCGUGGGGGAUAACGUAGGGAAACUUACGCUAAUACCGCAUACGACCUACGGGUGAAAGCAGGGGAUCUUCGGACCUUGCGCGAUUGAAUGAGCCGAUGUCGGAUUAGCUAGUUGGCGGGGUAAAGGCCCACCAAGGCGACGAUCCGUAGCUGAUCUGAGAGGAUGAUCAGCCACACUGGAACUGAGACACGGUCCAGACUCCUACGGGGCGCAGCAGUGGGGAAUAUUGGACAAUGGGCGCAAGCCUGAUCCAGCCAUACCGCGUGGGUGAAGAAGGCCUUCGGGUUGUAAAGCCCUUUUGUUGGGAAAGAAAAGCAGCAGGUUAAUACCCCGCUGUUCUGACGGUACCCAAAGAAUAAGCACCGGCUAACUUCGUG